rnacentral:piRNA from 1 species
AGUGAUCUUGAGCCUUUCCUAGU